ACUCCCAACAGCCGGCAGAGUCCUGCAACGUCCACUUCCCACAGCGACCACGAUUUCUCUCGAUGUCGGACUCUCUUUUUGUCCCCUGCUUCUCAAUUUCCAACACCUCGUUCGAACCCAAAAUAAUUCUAAAAAUCCUUUCUUUUUCAUUACCAAUCCCUUUCUCCCUCGAUUCUACCGACCCGAGAUAAAAAAAAAUAUAUUCCCAUUUCAAAUUGGGUUUUCCUUAAAACACCAUUUUCUUGCUGAAAAUUUUAAGGUGAGUCAUGGAGCAUGAGAGUUUAGUUCGGGGUUUAGGGAGGCAGAGGAUGAGGUGGACCCCAGAGUUACACCAUUGCUUUGAGGACGCAGUUCAUCAAUUGGGCGGCCCCGAUCGGGCAACGCCUAAAGGAAUAUUCAAGCUCAUGUCUAUGCCUGGACUAACCAUCACUCAUGUUAAGAGCCACUUGCAGAAAUACAGGAUGUCAAACUUUGUUCUCGAGUCUUCUGAUAGAAGCAAGCUCGAAACCAAGGCUUCAGAAAUUUUACGAAAUUUCUCUUCUGCAUCUCGACUUCAAAUAAGUGAUGCCUUACGCAUGAAUAUGGAAGCUCAUCGGAAAUCACAUAAUCAACUUGAUCUCACAAUUGUAGCAGUAAUAAGAUUUGUGAUAAGAUUUGAGGAGGAAACAUGGUGUCUGGAUAUAACUGAUGCGGUUGGAUUAGACUCUAUCCUAGCUGGUCUCCCAGUGGAUAAGAAAGACAAUCACCAAUACAAGGCCCACUGUUUGAUAGCAUGAGUAUCUGCAGUCCCUACUUUACAAGUGGAACUGAUCAGCUCCUCAGACCUGAUGACAGAGAUGGAUAAGCUUCAAAACAGGAAAUUGGCAUGGAGACUACAGAAAACCCUUUUUUAUUUACGGGGGUUCAUCUCUCGACAACAAAUCUAAAGCCUGAAGCCCUGUCCACUUAGCUUCUUUGGUGGCCCUCUAGGAAUUACACCGGUAAAGAAAUUCCAGUUAGCAGAACCAGUACAUCUCUAACCUCUGCUUUUACCUUGUAAAUUUCCUUUUCAAUAAUGCAUCAUGCUCAGUUUGCUGAUAGACCUAUAAAUAUAUUCUACUAAGGGCCUACUUAUUAUUAAUCACUAUUUAGUUGUUCCCACGAUAUCAUCAUUCUUUUUUAAAGGUGCUCACUACCUCAAGUUGACAAUGUAUAUUUCUAAUGCUAUAGAAUCAGUUGUUUUUUUUAAAAUAAAUAUUUUCUUAUUGCUUUAGUUUACUCUGUUCAAGUAGAAAAAAGAGAAACACCUGCGAAUGGCCUUUUUAUAUAUUUUAAGCAAGCUUUUUUUUUGGUUUGAGUAAUCAAAAGGAAUCAAAAACUUUGAAUACGUUUUCACGAUUGUAUAUUACCUUAUCGGUGAAACUUGAUCCUCAUUCAAGAGGGGCAUUGAAAAAGAGUGCUCCUGAUCUUAAAUUUGAAGCACUUUUGGUUUGCAUUUUAGGUUCAACUUAUAAUUAAAUCCUCUGGUCAGUGUAAAAAGUACUUGAUACAUAUUGUCAGUCAAUAAAAGAACCAGCUUGUAUAUUUGGCAUAGAGCUUUCUCAACAUGGUAAAUCCAACAGACAUUGGACCCAAAACCUCGAAAGUCAGGCCGAAAGUUAAGGUGAGAAGUGAAUAUUUCUUGAUUACGUUAUUGUGCUUUCGGUUAAAGUGGUUAUCUGACAAUUGAAAAAUAAUUAGUUAAUAUAAAAACUUAUCUAAGCUAAGGACACUGGCCUUACUUUUCCAAUUCACAGUACUAAGGUGGAAACUCUUUUCUAGAAAAGAAAGGAAUCCCAGUUCUAUGGUACUGCAUAAACAACGUUCAACUUUGUUUUUGUUAUAGGCCCUUGACAUAAGGUGUAACCCUCAACAUCAUACAAACUGACGUUUGAUUAAUUAAGAGAACGAAAAGGAAGUUUAAGGCUUAAACCACAUCAUUAUCCUUUAAAUUCAUUGAAAAUGUUUGCAACCAUCAACAGACUACUAAUUAAGUUAGAGGAGUUUACCAUAGUGGUGAGGCUGACAGGAGCUGUUGGUUUAUACUUCAAAUGGAUUAUCUGCCAAAUGAAUGAAUGAAUGAUUUAUUUAUGUUAGAUAAGAGAUGGGACGCGUACGCCUCAUUUUGUGACAAUGAUUGGUGGAUGGUUCUAUUUAUCUACCAUCUUUGUUGGCCAUGAAUCAUGGAGAGUAGAGGAUUUCUCUAGUUGCCGGCCAUGUGUUUGCCCAUCCUCAGCACAUGGGCUAUUAGAAUUUUCAAUGCAGCGGUGACCCCUUGUCCUCUUACAUGUGCUCUUAGCUACUUCACCAUUCAAACCCAGUGGCCGUGUGUUUAGUAUUACAGGAUCCGGAGAGGUUGAUACCGUUGAUAGAGAAGUCUUGUCGCAUUUUUGAGCAGUUGAAACCCUUUCCUCUCGUGAUCCUCCUUUGGCAAUUGAGGUGUGUUUGGCAUAUUUAACUUUGGAGAAAAGAAAGAAAAUGCGGAUUCUCUAGGGAGCCUACGGAAAGUUUCGAGUCCCACGGUAGUUUCUUCUUUUGGUAUAUCGAAUACUAGAAGAUGAGAUAUGUUAUUAAACUUUCAUCUGUUUGGCAGAAAAAAGGACAAAAAAUCCGAAAACAAUUAGAUUUCCCUAGGUGUUCUUGGAAACUUUCCCCAUACGCCGAGCACCCCGUAGGCUAGGUUCAUUCAAAUUGGAUGCUUUGAUCAAGAUUUCUAUUAUCACCAGCUAGGCAGAUAUCUUAGUGCCUAACAUUCACGCUAGCAUUAUUAGUUGUAUGAUUGAUAUAGGGUGUAUUUAUCAGUGAAGCUUUAUUAUUGAAAGUGAAGCUCAUACAUUCUUCUAGUUGGGGGUGAAGUUAAUAUUCAUCGCGAUGAAGUGCCUUCUUGAAUUCUUCUCUUAUUCUUAUCCAAGCAAGCAAUAGAAUCUCUUAUUAAGCACACCAAGACUUAUGCCCCCAUUACUAAAGUCUCCUUUAGCGUUAUUCCGUCUGAUGAAAGUGUUGAAAGUGCGCUACUCAAAACGUGAACAUGUAAAAUAUCCGAUGUCACGAUGUAAAGGUUAGCUUGAACAAAUUACAUUCUAUUUUUCACACGUGCUUUAAAGAGUAAGCUAAUUAUGUAAUAUUCAUUUCAUGUUUUGGUACAUAUAAUUAGUGAGCGUAAUUAUGUAAUAUCCAUUGUGGACCUGCUCCAACCACUGGUCAGACAUUGUCAUUAUCAGGGAAGUUUAACAUCUUAAUCACUUACUUAACCAACCCCAUUUUCAUUCACGUGCAAGUUUAUUUCCUUGCAAUUGUUGGAAAUGUACCCUAAGAUUAAAGCUUAGAAAAGUCUGACCUUUCAGAAUAUUAUUAUUAGCCAGCGAUAGAAGCAAGAAUGCCGUUUCGAUAGGAUCAACAAGGUUGUCAACUGAAAAUGUGCGCUAAAAGGACCCUAAACUAUUCUUAUUGCCACGGUUAAUGUUUUCAAAUUAUCAUACUGCAAGUGGGUGACCAAAUUUUUACUAUCGGUAAUCAGGUUUCAUGGCACUAAAUAUAGGCAGGAAAUAUUUGAUGUCAUUAAUAACAGUCACCACUUAUGUAAUCAGUGACUAUGUCUUAGGUUACCAACUAAAAAGUUGUUGAUCAACUGAGCAGAAAUUGUUGGGUGAUCCUAGAUGAACUCAUGUGGAGGCAGAAUUUGCCCGAAAAGAUUUCUUCAUGGACCCAAUAAUUGUGGAUUCUGGUUCUUUUGUGCUGAAAUGAUGAGGAACAUGUGAAGUUGGUUGUAUUGAAAACCACUCACCGGUGGCUCAUAUUGAGCCACAAAUUGCCAGACCUCUCUGUCGACUACAUAGUUUGAACACACCGAUGGGUUUCACAUGAUUUGGAUGCGUUUCAAGUCCUGUUUGGAUUCGGAUUGGGGAGUUGUUUGGCUAGUUGGACUCAACUUUGAGGGAGGCUAUAAAUAAAGAUUGUCUAGGGUUUCUCUAUGUAUCUUUGACAAGAAAUUGUGAUAUUUGUUUUGGCUUUGCAAGGGAGAGAGAUUAGGGUUUCUAAUCUUCUCCGUCUUCGUUGUAACCUCUUGAUAAAUAGUGGAUUGUCGAUCUCGCCGGUUGUGGACGUAGGCAUCUUGCCGAACCACGAUUAAUCCUUGCCUUUUUUGUGAGGUGAUUGCACAUCCGUGUUUGUCUCUACAGAACAUAUGGUGAUGCAUGCUUGGAGUUUGUCCUGUAGACACUUAACAUAAUGCCAAGGUUUUUAAAACUUAUUGGAAUCUAGUGUUGGUAAAGUCAUGCAUACUGUUGAUGAAAUUUAUCAGAAAUAUUAGAAUGCAUCAUGCAUGGCUGUUGUGCAUACACUAGGCCCCUGUUUGAUUUAUUUGGUGGAGAUAGAUUUGCUCACUGUGUUGAGCUCAACCUCGUAGGUUUCUCAAUUAUAAUUACACCACCCACCCGGGAAAAAAA